GGGGUAUUAGCUCAGUUGGUAGAGCGCUUGGUUCGCAAUCAAGAGGCCCGGGGUCCGAAUCCCCGAUACUCCACCA
rnacentral:tRNA from 1 species